rfam:Papio anubis isolate 1X1155 chromosome 9, whole genome shotgun sequence.
UUGGCCACCUGGCACUGAGAACUGAAUUCCAUAGGCUGUGAGCUCUAGCAGAUGCCCUAUGGACUCAGUUCUGGUGCCCGGCAGUGCUAC